GUCAUAAUAUCAAGACUGACUGGCUGGCUUUCAAAACCAGGGGAAGGGAGAACCUCAGACACCACCUUUCCUAAUCAUGGAUUUUCGAAAAAGAGAACCUUUUCCUUUCUUUAAUCUCUAUUGGAAAUUCUGGUAUAAGGGAGAAGUGCCAUAUUUUGGACCAUGUAAUAAGAAUGACAGAAACAUCUUCAUUUUACAACAUCAUACAGAGGGCUGGGAAAUUCUGAAUGCUGCUCCACCUCUAAGGUCUGCUGGGCUUGGGCCAUCUGUAAGGACUAUAUAUGAUAAACAUUAUCUUAAAGCCUGUGCAAUUAAACUUCUCAUGGUUUUGGUUCUUGAUAUGAAAAAAUUAGAUGCCACUUGUGAGAGGAGGUGUAGGCGUUCUUCUCUUCUUGGAUCUUAUUCCAGACUUCUUAAGGUAACCAUCUAAAAUAAUUUGAAUGAAUCAUUUUUGCAAUAUUUCUCUCCAUUGUUUAUAGAGGGAGCCUAGGUAACCAGCUUAGACUAUGUGACUACAUUUAGACAGUUGAAGAAAUAUGUCUUGAUAGAUGCCUAAUUUUUAGAUGGCCAAAGAUAUCAGCCUAAACAUUUAACUAAUCAGCAAGCUGUGUGGAGAGGAAUCUUUUUCUCUGAAAAAUAGAGACAUAUUUUCAAAUGCAAAAGCUUAUUGACGCAAGAGUCUAAGCAGAAGAUACUGUAAACAGUAACUAUGGAGACAUGCAUUUAAAACAAUACACUAAUGUCUAGUGAUUGUCUAAAUACAUAUUCUCGGACAGCAAAAAUACAACUCAAAUUGAUGGAGAGGGGAGUCAAAAAUGGAGAAAUGCCUUCCAUAAACAGCAACAGUACGUAAGCAUGAAACUUGGCAAGUCUGUUCCCAUUAUCACAUAGAUUGUGUUUAAAGAACACUUAGAAAUUAGGUACUCUCUUGUUAAGUCUCUGAGGCGUUCCUUCCUUUUUCAGAGCUCAUUUAAGUUACAAACUCUAUACAUACUAUACAAUGUAAUAUCUUCUAUUUUUCAAAAUAUAACCUCAGAUACACCUCUUUUUCCCCUGAGGACAGUGUCCCAACAACGAACCUAAGUAGUCUUACUGACUUUCUCUUACUAUCUCAGUGCACUAUUUUAGACACCAAGACAAUUUAACAGGAGUGAUAAAGGGGCACUGUUCUGGAAGAUGAGGCUUGAAUCCUUUUUUACAAGGUUGUCACAGCUGUGCUGAACUUGAGUUAAGGGGAGUAAUAAAGCAGUGUCUACUGCUAAAUAAAAGUCA
rnacentral:lncRNA from 1 species